rnacentral:lncRNA from 1 species
GUGAAUUCAGUGUGCAGCAGUUGAGACCAUCGGUCACUAUAUGCUUCUGUCAGCGGGAAAUCUGGGAAGGGCUUCUUCAUGGCCACCACCAGGAUUAAAUGUAAUAAUGAACCCGAAGCUCCUACCUCUACCUCAGAGUAAGAGUGGCAUAAAAUAGGGGUGAUGGUGAUGGUGAUGGUGAUGACAAUGAUGGUGACUCACUCUUCCUAUUUUACUAAAGUUCUUUGACUCUGACUCACGGUUUUUAUCCACACAUGUUCUGCCAUCAUGCUGUGAGGCUGCAAAAUCCUUGUUAAUGAGCUAAUCUGGUGUAUCCGUGUUCUCCUGUACUCAAUUGACCUUCCCUUCCAAACACUUCAGCAAACACCUACUUGGCAAUAACCUACAUUUUAUCAUCACCCAAACAAUCAAGAUGAAUCUUAUGAUCAUCCUAGCUGGAUGAAAUAUUCCCAAUCUGGAUGAAAUCCUCUCCAUCUGGAGAGAUAUUCUA